CACAUUCCCGUACGAUCACCGAAGUUAAGCAACGUCGAGCUUGGGCAGUACAUAGAUGGGUGACUGCUUGGGAAUGCCAGGAAUUGUAA